rnacentral:tRNA from 2 species
CGGGGCGUAGCGCAGCCUGGUAGCGCGCUUGCAUGGGGUGCAAGAGGUCGCAAGUUCAAAUCCUGUCGCCCCGA